rnacentral:rRNA from 1 species
ACGCUCGACACCUACGGAGGGCAGCAGUGGGGAAUAUUGCACAAUGGGGGAAACCCUGAUGCAGCGAUGCCGCGUGAAGGAAGAAGUAUCUCGGUAUGUAAACUUCUAUCAGCAGGGAAGAAAAUGACGGUACCUGACUAAGAAGCCCCGGCUAACUACGUGCCAGCAGCCGCGGUAAUCUGAGCGGGCUGGCAAGGC